AUGUGCCCCCACACCCCGACCGGCAACGAAGCACCCCGCAUGAGCGGACGCGUUCCCCUGCUCCAGACCGGCGGCGAAGCGACCCCGCGCUCUGCUUCUCCCUCCCCGGCGUCAUCCUACACCCCGCGGCGUCGAUCCCUCGCUAGAUUGAUGCAAACCGUGGCUGGGACCUUUGCUUCCUGUUUGACCCAGUCCCUUCUCAUCCAACAACAACAACAAAAGGAGGAAGCGGCUGCUCCGGCCGCCCCCUGCAGAUUCCAACCAACGACGGCCCCUUCUGCUCACGCGCCCCUUGGAGAUCCCCUACAGUUCAAUUCCCUGGCUGCACAGUAUAGGGAGGAUUCUCUUGAAGCAUUGCCUCAAAUUCUUCGUCCACAACCAUGCCUGCAGGGGUCAUGUGGACGGCGACGAGAAGCACGGAGCAGUGGAUGCGGUGCAAUACCUCACUGUAGAUUUCCCUCCCGCUCUUCGUCCACAGGGGCCUCACUAAAUUCUAAAAGGAUGUCAAAGCAAUAUUUUUGA
rnacentral:rRNA from 1 species